CUAAGUUUGAUGGCGACCGGCGCACGGGUGAGUAACACGUAUCCAACCUGCCGAUGACUCGGGGAUAGCCUUUCGAAAGAAAGAUUAAUACCCGAUGGCAUAGUUCUUCCGCAUGGUGGAACUAUUAAAGAAUUUCGGUCAUCGAUGGGGAGUGCGUUCCAUUAGGUUGUUGGCGGGGUAACGGCCCACCAAGCCUUCGAUGGAUAGGGGUUCUGAGAGGAAGGUCCCCCACAUUGGAACUGAGACACGGUCCAAACUCCUACGGGAGGCAGCAUG
rnacentral:rRNA from 1 species